GAGUUUGAUCGUGGCUCAGGAUGAACGCUGGCGGCGUGCCUAAUACAUGCAAGUCGAGCGAACAGACGAGGAGCUUGCUCCUCUGACGUUAGCGGCGGACGGGUGAGUAACACGUGGAUAACCUACCUAUAAGACUGGGAUAACUUCGGGAAACCGGAGCUAAUACCGAAUAAUAUAUUGAACCGCAUGGUUCAAUAGUGAAAAACGGUUUUGCUGUCACUUAUAGAUGGAUCCGCGCCGCAUUAGCUAGUUGGUAGGGUAACGGCUUACCAAGGCGACGAUGCGUAGCCGACCUGAGAGGGUGAUCGGCCACACUGGAACUGAGACACGGUCCAGACUCCUACGGGAGGCAGCAGUAGGGAAUCUUCCGCAAUGGGCGAAAGCCUGACGGAGCAACGCCGCGUGAGUGAUGAAGGUCUUCGGAUCGUAAAACUCUGUUAUUAGGGAAGAACAAAUGUGUAAGUAACUAUGCACGUCUUGACGGUACCUAAUCAGAAAGCCACGGCUAACUACGUGCCAGCCG
rnacentral:rRNA from 1 species